rnacentral:lncRNA from 1 species
UUCUUAUCAUCCUCUCAUUCUCUCUCUAGAUCACUCUCUUUUUCUCUCUCUAACUUUUGAAAUGUGGAAGAAUAGAAGUGAAAAGAAAAUGGAAGGAAGGGCCCCUAUUUAUAGGAAACAAGGGUCGUUGGAUUUGCACCAAGUGGUGAAAUCCGGUGAAGAAAGAGAGUGUUGAAAAAUAAAAGAUGCUUGAUUUGACGCGAC